UACAGCUCCAAUUCGACCCCUGGCCUGGGAACUUCCAUAUGCCGCGGAAGCGGCCCAAAGAAAUAGCAAAAAGACAAAAAAAAAAAAAUAAGGACGUGGAGCCUUAGGUUGUCCAUUGUCUUUCCUCUUAAGUGGCAGAGCUGAGAUUUGACUGCACAGCUCAGGUUUUUAUUUGCAGCGCUUUAUGACUUCCUCUUGAGAAGGGAUCCGGGUGGCUACUGGGGGACCUGGGGGCCAGUGCAGGACCUUCUGCUUUCCCUUGUAUCCGCCGAGUUUGUCUUUACUGACUUCCUAGAAUUGAAGCUCCACAUGUGGACGUUUAUGAGCCAGUCUAUGAAUGAACAUUUUCUCUUAAAAAACUCCAAAACCAAACUGAACAGGAAACAAACAGGGAAAGGAUAGACCCUAGUGAUUUUGAAUGAUGCAGUUAAAUAUGCCUGAAGGCCAAAUAGGUGCUUUUUAAAAAUCUUUUUUGAAUAUGUUUCCUAUGCCUUGUUGAUUUUGAGAAGCGGCUUAGGAUUUUAACUAACAAGCUGUACAUAUGAAAGCUCCAGUACCUCUCUUUGUUUGGCAAUAUCUCUUCGGGCAGCUUUCUUUUGGCUUCACUACUAUUAUGUCUAAAAUGCAGACCAGAACCAGUGUUACUCUUACCUCUCAGCACUGGUCAGGUACCAGGUGAAGCCCUGUGGCCCUCUGCUUGACCUGCACAAGUUCUUCAUCUUCCCUCUGGGCUUGGCAGCACCCCCUGCUGGUGAUGGCUUUACUGGCAGAGGAGGGCAUGGUCAUUAGAUCCCUCCUCAAUAGGGAGAUGAGUGGUGAGUCAGCAGGCAGAAGGCAAAGGGAGUGGCCUGGACUCCACUCCUUCAGUUGUGGAGUGCAGGGGUGCCUGCCUGGCAGGAAGCUCCCAUCCCAGAGGAAGACAGGACCCUGGGGGCAGGGAACUGCCAAUGCAAAGGAAGAAUUGCUGGUUGGAGUUGCUGUGCAAAUGGGUUUGUAUGUUUUUCUUAGACCGGCUGCUUAGAUUCUUCUGGGGCCAAUGAAUUUUUCUUUGGACAUUUAAAUAGUAUUUUCCUUGGUCAGUCUUUUUUUUUUCCACCCCACCCAGCUUCCAGAGCUUGAUGGUUUGUUUUCUGGAUAUAAGUGCUGCAGCGGCAGCUCCCAGGAUACGCUGGAGCCAGUAACCUUCAGGAAAAAAGCCAAAGACAGUCUGGAGAGGGUGGUGGGCUCCGGAUGUAUUCCCUUCCACAUUUCCUUUGUGUGUUGCUGGCUUGCAUCUCCUCCCCAGCUUCUGGUCCAAAUAUUGGCACUGAUCUGUAUCUGCAACUUGCAACCUCCUUCUCUGUCCCCUAGGAGAAACCUGGAAACUUUCUUUCAGUUUCCCCCUAACCUCCCCACUGGGGGAGUGAAGCACUCCUUCUCAGGCAGCCUGGGGGGGCUGCUCCUCACUGGACCUCCCAGGGAUCUGUGAGCAUAGUCUGUCCCUUAUCUUGUUUUUCUCUCAGUUUCAGCAGUGGUCACUAGCCAGUCCUGUGUCCGGUGUCCAGUGAUGUCCCAGUGGCAUUCGAAUGGCCCCCAUAUCUCCCACCAGCACCCACCUCUAUUCCCUUGUACAGUGGAAACGUGUGCAGCUCCUGUUUACCAUGUACCGUAAAAGGUCAGGUAGUGUGACUGGCCUUCUCCCCACUGCCCUCCCUACUGACCCCCUGCUCAGUUAAUCCUGUGGCUUACAUCCUCACCCUGAAGCCUGAUGUGAUAGGCUCUGAAGUCCAGCCAUAGGUCCUUCCUAACCUUGGUACAGGCCUAGGAGUUAACCUCCAGGGCAGGGAGUGGGAGAAUUAUCCAUCCUCGGCAUUUGUGACCCUUUCUAUUUUGAAGCACUUGCACAGAUCUGUCACAUGGACAUCUACUUUCGGGGCCAGCUGCUGGUUGGAGGUGGUGUGACUGGGCCUGGAAAUGGUAGGUCAGGGGAGGAGCCGUGUAACCAGACCAGUGCCAGCUUUGCAUUGGCACCAUGUGCAGAUGGCUUGGAGGUUUGCAGGGAACGCGGGAAGUACCCAUUGUUCCCAGCCCCUCUACUGCCCUGAGAAUCAUGAUCAUAAAGGGGACAUUAUGUUCGUUCACAUUUGUGGAAUGUGCCUCUUAGGUGUUGGUCACUGUGCUUUCAAGUUUCCCCAUUUUUCUAUGACAUAGCAUUACUAUUGCCUCCAUUUUACAGAUAAAGCUGAGGCUUAGGGGAUGUCAUAACUUGCAUAGGAGCUCACUGCUACUAAAUGGUGGGCUGGGCUUUAAAUCCAGGUGAUUUGACUCUAGGUUUUAACCGCCGUGAGACGUUGCCCUGUCCAGUUCUUAGAGGCUGAUAUCCAGGCAGUAUCAUUGAUGCUCUUGUUGCCUCUGAGGUCACAGGAAGUGCUAACGGCUCCGGGAGGUGGGUCUCCCCUUUGCCUGCCUUGUUGUACCUUGAGGACUACUGUGUGUGGCCACACUGGUGCCAGCAAAGACCUCCGAGUCUUGCCUGAGCUGUGAGCUUCCCUAAGUGACAGAGCCUCUUGGCACUAUCCCUUUAUCUGGCCAGCAGGGGGCGCACUGCGGGGCGGGGCGGGGCGGGGCGGUGGGGGAACUGGUUCCUCAGGCUGUCAUCCUUUCUUCCUAGAACCUGAAGCUUUGUCCUCUCACCUGUGUACCUUCAGAAGCUCCUCCACCCCAGCCCUCCCACAGCACCUGACUGACAUCGCUAGAGAUCACUUCAGCUUUGAGACCAAGUCAGACUUGAACUUUGCAUAGGAGCUGUCCUCUCCCUAGUUUCCCUCAUGCUGGGCAGUUUCUGUCCAUCACAGCACCUCUCAGAUGCUCCAGUCAAACCCUCUCAUGGAAAUUUCCACUUGGAGUUUGCAAUUGCUUAGUCUUCUUUCUCCUCCCACUUCCAACCUGAUCACUUUUCCUGAUUUUCUUUGUGAAUCGUUCUUUCCCUUCUUAUUUUCAUCUGGACUCUUUCAUUGUUCUUUGAUGGCUUUUCUCACCCAAACUCUUCUAUAAGUCCUCAUAGUGUCCACUGCCCUUCCGGCAUUACCUGGACACGUCUCCUGUUGGUCUUUCUUGGCCUUUCCCUUAUUCUUUUUCUGCCUUUUCCUUAUUCCACUGACUGUCUCACUCCACUGUUCUAAUGCCUUUAUCUACCUAAAGAAGCAUUAGGUGGGUUUGUUUUCUGCCCAGUCUGCCUCUACCAUCCACAGUUUUGCAGGGGUCUUAAAAUUUCAUUCUCUGGGGGAAGAGGUCACAUAGAUGGGGAGGACAGGGGAUGAACCACUAAAUUAAAAAACAAAAAAAACAAAGAGUCCUUAAUGCUUAAGUAGUAUUUACUGUGAACCAGACACUAUUCUUAGCCCUUUCCAUGUGUUAUUUAAUCAUCAUAGCAGCCUAUGAGUUGAGGAAUAGUAUUAUCUUUGUCUUACAGGUGAGGAAAUGGGGGCACAGAGAGGCCAAGUAAUGUGCCCAAGGUCACACAGAGGGUGGGUGGUUGAGUCAGAAUUCAAACCUUAGCAGAAUAAUGUGAGAGGCAGGCUCACCAUCAUGCUCAGCUGCCUCUGAAGAGUUGACGGUUAACAAGCAAAAGAGAGGAAGUGGCACCUACCAGACAGAUGUGCACGAUCGUGGGAACUCACACUCUGCCCCCUUUCACUGUCACACUCCCUCCCGCUUUCUUUUGCAGUCUGUUCUCCUUUUAAGAGAAGCUACUAUUUCCGUGUACAGGGAGAGCAGACAUCAAGUCACCUCUCAAGGUCUGUCUUUCUGGGAGACUCUCCCUGUUCGUCGCCGUCUUUUCCGUUUACCGUCAGCAGUCAGACUCCAGAGAGAAGGAAUUUCACCUUUUUUUGGCAGAGCACCUGAUCUGUGUUUGUGGUCUCAGGAUGGGCAGAGUGGUGGAGCUGCACAUUUUAUAAGCAGUGCAGAUGAGGCCAUCCCCCUGCGCUUUACUCAGAGAACUGCACACCCCACAGCGCAGCAGGCGAGGCUUAUUACACCAGGAUUGAAACAGCCUUCUCUGCUUUCCUUGUGGCAUCUUCUACCAAAAGGCAGUGGCCAGAGGAAGCUCUUCCUAAAGAAGCAGAUGCAAUGUCCAGCCUUGAGCUGUCCUCUCAGAACUGGGUGCCUGAACUUCCUACCACCCUUAACUGGCCCCUGCCCACCCUCACUCUGACCUCUUUUCAAACAUCUGGGUUUCACUUCCUCCCUCCCUCCCUUCCUUCCCUCCUUCCUUUCUUUCUUAGUGUACUCAAGUAUGGUGAUUAAGGAGUUAGAAUAUAAUACCUAGGGUAAAGUAAUUAGUACGAAUAAUUGCCCUGGAGAGGAAAUGAUAUAAUGAUACAAAUCGGUCCCCUCCCCCUUCUCUGUCUGUCUGUCUAUCUUCUCACUAAGGGUUAGGCAAAAUGGAAUGAGAUGAAAUUGUAGAAGAGGAGGCUUCUGGGAGCCAGUUCAAAAGGCAUAUGCAUAGAAUAGAGAGGAGUUAUUUAUCCUGCAAGGAAUUAUUUAGAUCAAUUCCUUGCCGAUAACUAGCAGAGGUGCAGAUGCAAUAGUUUCUUAAUUAGAUACUCCACAUCAGUUUUUCUUCUUGUUAAAUUUUUAUUUAUUUAUUUUCGGCCACACCCGCAGCAUGCGGAAGUUCCCGGGCCUGAGAUUGAACCCAGACACCACAGUAACAAUGCCAAAUCCUCAACCACUAGGCCACCAGGGAACUCUCAGUUUUUCUUUUUCCCUUCAUUGUCAUUCUCCUUUCUGUAUUUCUUCCUGGGACUAUCUUUGGACUUUAGGAUAUGUUCCUUCUCUUCGCUGUCAUUAAAGCGAGCCCUAUCCCCCACAUCCUGCCCUGCCCCAUCUCCGAGACUGUCUGUUCUACAGCUCGUAGCACUCGUCCUGCUGCUUUGAGUUCCCGACAUAUGACUCACUUUGUAAAAUAUACAUGGAUGCUUCUAGCAGAGUAGGUCCUAAAUGCUGUCGGCUGUGUUCACCAGCCAGAGCCUUGUGACAGCUGGAUGCCUUUAAGAACUGAGUAGUAGGUGUGUUCGGUCAUUUGGGAGACUGGGUGGAGUCCCAUUAACAUGGGCCUGAUUUCUAAGUGAUUUUAAUGAAACAGAACAUCCUCAUUCGUGGGUACUAGCCUUCUGCUCCCCAUCUGUUUGUACAUUUGACUGUCAGACGGGAACAGAGAGGACUGCAGGCCACAACGAUAGCCAGAAGGCACAUUCCAGGCCUCUGCGCAGAGAUGUCAUGUGUGGGUCUGGCACAGCCCCACACCUUUGUUAUGUUCAUGGGGGUAUGGAAGGAUAGCUCCACUGCGGUACCCACAAAGUUUCCUACCCACUUUAGGUUGAUUGCAUCUAUGACGGUAGUCUAGGGCUUAUAGGAACCAGGCGAUGAGUUAAUGAAAAACAAUCCAUUGGCCUAAAUGAUUUUCUGUUACUCUCAUCCUCAUCCUUUCUUAUAUAGGUUUAUGGAACCCGGCGGCCCUUGGCUAAUGGAGUUAAGAUGGGUAACGGAGGGAGAAGUGAUGUAUUUGGAGGUUGUGGUGGUUGGAAAUUAAUGGACCUCCAGGAACCAGGAUACAAUCUUUUUUCCCCCCUUAAUUUUAACCUUGAUAGUGGACCAACUUCGUCAGGUAUCUCGGUCUGCUUUUCUUCUUCAAUGAAGCGGUCAUGAGUGGAUCUUUGAUGAUUCUUUCUAAAAGCACUUUCCAUCAGACAUAGGAGAUUUGCUAAAUGUAUACAGUGGCCUCGAGAUAGGCCCAAGAUUUUUUUUUCUUAAUUUUAAUAAUGUAUUUUCUAACUUAUCUUAAAUAAAGGGCCCAAAGGGAAAUUGCAGAUUAUUUGAGGUUUUAUAUUCUCUGAAUCUAUAGUAAUGGGGGAGUUCCCGUCAUGGCUCAGCGGUUAAUGACCCCAACCAGCAUCCAUGAGGACUCGGGUUCCAUCCCUGGCCCUGCUCAGUGGGUUAAGGAUCCAGUGUUGCCGUGAGCUGUGGUGUAGGUCACAGAUGCAGCUCGUAUCCUGCGUUGCUGUGGCUCUGGCCUAGGCUGGCAGCUACAGCUCUGAUUAGACCCCUAACCUGAGAACCUCUAUAUACCGUGG
rnacentral:lncRNA from 1 species